CCCGCAGUCCGCGUCUAGCGGCUCUGCUUGUUCGUGUGUGUGUCGUUGCAGGCCUUAUUCAUGGGCUCACCGCUGAGGUUCGACGGGCGGGUGGUACUGGUCACAGGCGCGGGGGCAGGAUUGGGCCGAGCCUAUGCCCUGGCUUUUGCAGAAAGAGGAGCGUUAGUUGUUGUGAAUGAUUUGGGAGGGGACUUCAAAGGAGUUGGUAAAGGCUCCUUAGCUGCUGAUAAGGUUGUUGAAGAAAUAAGAAGGAGAGGUGGAAAAGCAGUGGCCAACUAUGAUUCAGUGGAAGAAGGAGAGAAGGUUGUGAAGACAGCCCUGGAUGCUUUUGGAAGAAUAGAUGUUGUGGUCAACAAUGCUGGAAUUCUGAGGGAUCGUUCCUUUGCUAGGAUAAGUGACGAAGACUGGGAUAUAAUCCACAGAGUUCAUUUGCGGGGUUCAUUCCAAGUGACACGGGCAGCAUGGGAACACAUGAAGAAACAGAAAUAUGGAAGGAUUAUUAUGACUUCAUCAGCUUCAGGAAUAUAUGGCAACUUUGGCCAGGCCAAUUAUAGUGCUGCAAAGUUGGGUCUUCUGGGCCUUGCAAAUUCUCUUGCAAUUGAAGGCAGGAAAAGCAACAUUCAUUGUAACACCAUUGCUCCUAAUGCGGGAUCACGGAUGACUCAGACAGUUAUGCCUGAAGAUCUCGUGGAAGCCCUGAAGCCAGAGUAUGUGGCACCCCUUGUCCUUUGGCUUUGUCAUGAGAGUUGUGAGGAGAAUGGUGGCUUGUUUGAGGUUGGAGCAGGAUGGAUUGGAAAAUGUAAGUCUCUCUCAGUUUUUGGUUUGUAUAGAUUAUUUCUUUAUCUUUAAACCUGCAUAUCCAGUUGAGGUGGGUAAGAUUUUUGUCAUAUGCCUAACCAUUGGAUAUAGUGCUUACAUAUUCAAACUUAAACAUUGCUAUAGCAACAGGUAUUUUAAACAUUGUGAUUGUCCUAUAGGUCUGUGGCCCUUUCAAGACCCUAGACCCUAUCUAUUCUUCCUGUAGGCAGUCCUUAUUCAGGACUUGUCCUGUUUUAUUCAGAACUGGCUAUUCCUUCAGACAGCAUAUAUUGAUAAUCAUCCUCCCAUGUCUUUGACUUCCCACAUGCUUGUUCUUGCUGUUUCAGCAGAGAAGUGAGUGGGAGGGAGAGCUGUUUUGGAAAAAGAUGGGUUGAGCCUAUUCUAGAGCAGCAGGCAAGUUCUCCAAUUUUCCCAUGUAAUUAUUUUCUUCCAUGAAGCAGGAGACAUCAAGGGGAGUGAGGAAUCACAUUGGACAACUUACUGGGAUAAAAAUUGCAGCUGAUUUAUGGGAAUUAUUCUGCUUUAGCCCAAUAGUAAAUUUACUUGGCUUCAACCCUCUCCUACCCCAUCUCUCAAACCUUGUGAACUCCAAAUUUGAGAAUUGCUUUAUGGCAUUGAAAAAAUUGUGAAAAUUUCUAUGUCUCAGCUUAUAUUUAGUUGGCUAUGGGUAUCAAAAUUAAUCCAAUUAACUGAAUCAGUUAAAAGAUUGCUAUCUCUCGAGGGCAUUGCUGUAGUAGUAUAAUAUUUUUAGAAUUAAUGGUCAUUUUCUCUAAUUGUUAAAGUGGCUUAUAUUCUUGAAGCAUUUUUGAGUGUCUUAUUACAUUCAUUUAAAAAAGAAACAUGAGGUUUUGCAGUAAAAGCUAUAUCUGGCACUUUAUCAAUAGGAAAGCUCUAGACACAGGCAUUUCUGUCAUUCCCAAAGACAAAUCUUCAGUUUAACAAUCAUCAAUGUCUGACUAUUAUGUUUAAAUAAGGUUAUUAGUAGUUAUUUAUACCUCUGGUUUUUAAAAAGAAAACAACGUUAAAAAUUCUCCUUAUGCAGCAGUAAUGGUUUUUAUGAAUCUGUGCAUUCUAACUGACUUCUUGUGGAAAUAGAGGUAGAGCAAAGAGAAGGUAGGGGAGAGUUAUUUGGGGCCACUUGUUACACUAAAUUUUUGUUAACUGAAGUCUUUGACCUAUUAUUUACUAUUAGUCUUCAGUUUGCUAACUCAGUGAAACUCUAUUCAGUUAUCUUUAUUUUAUAAACAAGAAGAAUGAAGUAUAUUACUUUGGGGAUCUGUGGUCAUAAAGUCAGUCUUUUGAUGUGAUUAUUAUAUAAUUAAACUUUUUCACAUACAGCAUAACAUUCUACCUUUAAUACUGUCUAGCAUAGUCAGAGGAGAAAUUUUUCCCUUCAGCUUCAAAUGUUUCUUUAAAUUGACGUUAUCCUAAUGGGUUUGUUAGGAAAAAUUCAUUUUAAGGCUUAUGGUAAAACUCUUUAGGAGUUAGAAUCCCUUUUUUUCUGAAUUUCCUUUCUCUUUAAAAAUGAAAGGGUUCUUACGCAUCUUACUUUCUGUCUCUCAACUAUGUGCUCAGUAUGUUAGUUUUGUUUCUAUAACCAGUACGCUGGGAGCGGACUCUUGGAGCUAUUGUAAGACAAAAGAAUCACCCAAUGACUCCUGAGGCAGUCAAGGCUAACUGGAAGAAGAUCUGUGACUUUGAGAAUGCCAGCAAGCCUCAGAGUAUCCAAGAAUCAACUGGCAGUAUAAUUGAAGUUCUGAGUAAAAUAGAUUCAGAAGGAGGAGUUUCAGCAAAUCAUACUAGUCGUGCAACGUCUACAGCAACAUCAGGAUUUGCUGGAGCUAUUGGCCAGAAACUCCCUCCAUUUUCUUGUGCUUAUACGGAACUGGAAGCUAUUAUGUAUGCCCUUGGAGUGGGAGCAUCAAUCAAGGAUCCAAAAGAUUUGAAAUUUAUUUAUGAAGGAAGUUCUGAUUUCUCCUGUUUGCCCACCUUCGGAGUUAUCAUAGGUCAGAAAUCUAUGAUGGGUGGAGGAUUAGCAGAAAUUCCUGGACUUUCAAUCAACUUUGCAAAGGUUCUUCAUGGAGAGCAGUACUUAGAGUUAUAUAAACCACUUCCCAGAGAAGGAAAAUUAAAGUGUGAAGCAGUUGUUGCUGAUGUCCUAGAUAAAGGAUCCGGUGUAGUGAUUAUUAUGGAUGUCUAUUCUUAUUCUGAGAAGGAGCUUAUAUGCCACAAUCAGUUCUCUCUCUUUCUUGUUGGCUCUGGAGGCUUUGGUGGAAAACGGACAUCAGACAAAGUCAAGGUAGCUGUAGCCAUACCUAAUAGACCUCCUGAUGCUGUACUUACAGAUACCACCUCUCUUAAUCAGGCUGCUUUGUACCGCCUCAGUGGAGACUGGAAUCCCUUACACAUUGAUCCUAACUUUGCUAGUCUAGCAGGUUUUGAGAAGCCCAUAUUACAUGGAUUAUGUACAUUUGGAUUUUCUGCCAGGCAUGUUUUACAGCAGUUUGCAGAUAAUGAUGUAUCAAGAUUCAAGGCAAUUAAGGCUCGUUUUGCAAAACCAGUAUAUCCAGGACAAACUCUACAAACUGAGAUGUGGAAGGAAGGAAACAGAAUUCAUUUUCAAACCAAGGUCCAAGAAACUGGAGACAUUGUCAUUUCAAAUGCAUAUGUGGAUCUUGCACCAACAUCUGAUGCUUCAGCUAAGACACCCUCUGAGGGCGGGAAGCUUCAGAGUACCCUCGUAUUUGAGGAAAUAGGACGCCGCUUAAAGGAUAUUGGGCCUGAGGUGGUGAAGAAAGUAAAUGCUGUAUUUGAAUGGCAUAUAACCAAAGGUGGAAAUAUUGGGGCUAAGUGGACUAUUGACCUGAAAAGUGGUUCUGGAAAAGUGUACCAAGGCCCUGCAAAAGGUGCUGCUGAUACAACAAUCAUACUUUCAGAUGAAGAUUUCAUGGAGGUGGUCCUGGGCAAGCUUGACCCUCAGAAGCCUAUAAAUAUAGUGGAUUAUAUUGAUUGAAUUUUGAAGGUUGAAUCAGUCUUGCAUCCUUGGAAUAGACCCCACUUGGUCAUGCAGCUGAGACUUAUGGGCCAGAAGAUACUGGAAGAUGGUGUGGCCUUCUCUUGCAAGAGGGAGAAGAAAGAGCCAUGGAGAUAGCAGCAGACAGGCUGCCCAAGGUAUGAAGGAGAUGAGGGACCAGCAUUCAGUCUAACAUGUAAACAUCAUGUGUAAUAAAGGUUGUGCUUCAAACCUUCCCUGGAUACAUUAUUUAACUAAUAAAUUAAUCUACCUGUCUAUUCAUCAUUUUCUUUUCUUUUCCUUUUUCUUUUUCUUUUUCUUCUUCUUCUUCUUCUUCUUUUUUUUUUUUUUUCUGAGAUGGAGUUUCACUUUUGUUGCCCAGGCUGGAGUGCAGUGGCAUGAUCUUGGCUCACUGCAACCUAUGCCUCCCGAGUUCAAGUGAUUCUCCUGCCUCAGCCUCCCAAGUAGCUGGGAUUACAGGCAUGUGCCAACACACACAGCUAAUUUUGUAUUUUUUUUUUAGUAGAGACGAGGUUUCACCAUGUUGGUCAGGCUGCUCUCAAACUCCUGGGCUCAAGUGAUCUACCCGCCUGGGCCUCCCAAAGUGCUGGGAUUGCAGGCGUGAGCUACGGCGCCCGGCCCUAUUCAUUAUUUUCAUCUAUCUCUCUAGUGGUUUGUGAACGAAGUUUUACAUCAGCACUAAAGAUAUCUACCAGCCUUUUCCAGAGGCAGCAAUACCCAAGCUCCUGGGAUGGAUUAGGCUUCUGUGUGACAAUUUUUUCAAGGCUGGAUACCACAUUUCAUAUGAGACCAAGGCAAACUCCACUACAUACCUAUGUUUCCAUCAUCCCGCUUUAUUAAGCUUAGCAUUAUUCUACGUUUGCUUCAGAUGGCUUUGAAGUAAAAAUGAUUACAAAUACAGCCAUAGUCCCCUGUUCCAUUGCCUUACAUAUGGAUUUUGAGUAUUUUUUAAUACUUCUAUGCAUGUUUUAUGCUAUUAUACAAAUAUAUAAAAUGUUUUGAAUAUCUUGAAAGUUUCACAUACUAUUGUACUUCAUUAUUAGUUUGCAACUUGUUUUUAUUAAAAAACAGAUUAUCCAUUGUCAUACACAUAUCUGUAGUUAACUAAUUUUUACUACUGUAUUAUAGUUCAUUCUAUCAAUAUGCCAACUUUUUAUUUAUUGUCUUUUUGAUGAAAUUUUAGUUGCAUCCAAAUUUCCUCUAUUACCACAGAAUGUGAGUCUCUCUCUAGGAUGUAUACCCAGACAUCCAUUGCUGUGCUGAAUUAUAUAGAUAUUUCAGUUUAGUAGUUACUGCCAUGGUGUAUUUCUUUCUUUGUUCAAGCAUUUUUUCUUUCUUUCUUUGUUCUUCAAUAAUGAUUAAUGCUUUUCUCCACAAAUGUUAUAUACAAUUUUUAUUUGAUGCAGUCCAAGAUUUCUUUUCAUUCUCCUUGUAAAUGGUAUGUUUUUUCUAUUAUAUCUUAGAAUUGGUUAUUACUGAUGCAUAUUUUAAAUUUUCAUUUCACAUCUAGCAACCUUUUUGAAAUUUUUCAGGUGUAAGUAUUUCUACAUAGUAUUCUGUAUUUUUCUAUAUUCAAUCAUAUUAAAUACAAAUAAGAAG
rnacentral:sRNA from 1 species